UACGGAGGGGGCAAGCGUUAUUCGGAAUUAUUGGGCGUAAAGGGCGCGUAGGCGGCUAGAUGUGUCAAAGGUGAAAUCCCUCGGCUCAACUGAGGAACUGCCUUUGAAACUGUCUGGCUUGAGGCCGGGAGAGGGUAGCGGAAUUCCCAGUGUAGCGGUGAAAUGCGUAGAUAUUGGGAGGAACACCAGUGGCGAAGGCGGCUCACUGGCCCGAUACUGACGCUGAGGCACGAAAGCGUGGGGAGCAAACAGG
rnacentral:rRNA from 1 species